AUACUCUGGUUUCUCUUCAGAUCGUAUAAAUCUUUCGCCUUUCACUGUGAUUUUAAUGGA
rnacentral:snRNA from 1 species